AUUGAACGCUGGCGGCAUGCCUUACACAUGCAAGUCGAACGGCAGCGCGGGCUUCGGCCUGGCGGCGAGUGGCGGACGGGUGAGUAAUGCAUCGGAACGUGCCCAGGAGUGGGGGAUAACGUAGCGAAAGUUACGCUAAUACCGCAUACGUACUGAGGUAGAAAGCGGGGGAUCGAAAGACCUCGCGCUCAUGGAGCGGCCGAUGUCGGAUUAGCUAGUUGGUGGGGUAAAAGCUCACCGAGGCGACGAUCCGUAGCUGGUAUGAGAGGACGACCAGACACAGUGGGACUGAGACACGGGCAAGACUCCUACGGGAGGCAGCAGUGGGGAAUCUUGGACAAUGGGGGAAACCCUGAUCCAGCGAUGCCGCGUGUGGGAUGAAGGCCCUCGGGUUGUAAACCACUUUUGGCAGGGAAGAAAUCGCCUGUGCUAAUACCACGGGCGGAUGACGGUACCUGCAGAAUAAGCACCGGCUAACUACGUGCCAGCCGCCGCGGUAA
rnacentral:rRNA from 1 species